rnacentral:lncRNA from 1 species
UCCAAAAGUUCGAGUGGAAUUUGAAUCAUUUCUUUCCAUUUUCCUCUCCAUCUCUUUUCUAGCUAGCUAUCUAUCUCUCUUAAUCCCACUCUCUCUUCAUUCUAAAAUGAUUUUAUAAUGAGAGACUGAGAGUAAGAUUAAGGGAGAGAUCGAGAGUUAGGAGAGGAAUGGAGAGAUAAAUGAAAGCAGAGGGUCCAAUUUGGUUCACGUCAAUGGACUCAAACUCUCCACUUAUAAACAACGUAACUUCCUUGCUCUCAUCUAUGUAUGACUUCUGAAUUUCCAACAAUUUUAGAAGGGUAAAACCAAGCUUGAAAUUGAUGAAAACAAGUAGAGGUUUAUGCAACAAUUCACUAUAUUUUAGAGAAUGACUCGUGAAUCCUAAGUAAGAAUCAAUUGGAGGUUUUAAUACUAUUGUAUUCCAUCUCUUUCUACGCUUAAAUACUGUGUUCCAUGUUACUUAAUUUUCCAAUAAUCUGGUGUUUUUGACAGGUCUAGCAAUUAAUUAUGCACUGACCGUUCUUUGUUUUCCUUACCAGUAUUGAUUUUUUUUUGUCUUCAAUUCUUGCUUGUUAUUUCUUUUGAAAACAGGGAAAGUUGCAUUACCUCCUCAAUAUGAGCUGAAAGUGGCCUCACUUAUAAGUUACUAUAUUCGUGUCAUUAAUCAUUCUAGUUGUUAGUUCAUGCUUUACACAUGUUACGAGAUUUGUAGAAUGAAUCAGAUUCAUCAUCAUCUCAGAAUCACACUUGGAAAAGAAUGAAAGGGUGAAAAUUUGAGCAUGGAGGUGUAACCAAAUGCUUACUGUGCUGGUUAAGUUAUAAAUCCACAAUUUGAUCAUGGAGACGUAAACAAAUGCUUAUUAUACAGGUUGAGUUGUAAGUACAAAGUGUAAAGACAUGAGUUAAAAUAAUGCAGAUGCCUGGUCAGGUGUAGAGGCAAAAUUUUGAGCUAUAGCAUUAGACAUGAGUUAUUGUGGAAUGAGAUUAUAUUGGAUGAUUCAAUGAUUGAGUAUGAAGACCCUAUUAAGUGUUUUAUGGAAAUAUACUAGCAUGACCAUUGCUCAUAAUAAAUGAAUUAAUUAAAUAUGUUGAAAUAGACCAAUACUUCACUUAAUGAGUAGCUGAAUAGUGGAGUGUUAACCUUAGCAUAUGUUCCUACUAGCUGAAAUAUGUAAU